CACGUAGGGGACGAGCGUUGUCCGGAUUCAUUGGGCGCAAAGCGCGCGUAGGCGGCUCGGAAAGUCGGGCGUGAAAUGCCGGGGCUCAACCGGGGAGAGUCGUCGGGGACCGCACCGCUUGAGGGCGGUAGGGGCUGGUGGAAUUCCUGGUGUAGCGGUGAAAUGCGCAGAUAUCAGGAGGAACACCGAUGGCGAAGGCAGGUCUCUGGGCAUUAACUGACGCUGAGGAGCGAAAGCAUGGGGAGCGAACAGG
rnacentral:rRNA from 1 species